UACGAAGGGGGCUAGCGUUGUUCGGAAUUACUGGGCGUAAAGCGUGCGCAGGCGGCUUCUCAAGUCAGGGGUGAAAGCCCAGAGCUCAACUCUGGAAUUGCCUUUGAGACUGAGUGGCUUGAGUACGAGAGAGUGAGUGGAAUUCCCAGUGUAGAGGUGAAAUUCGUAGAUAUUGGGAAGAACACCGGUGGCGAAGGCGGCGACCUGUCCUUGACUGACGCUGAGGCGCGAAAGCGUGGGGAGCAAACAGG
rnacentral:rRNA from 1 species